rnacentral:rRNA from 1 species
UACGUAGGGUGCAAGCGUUGUCCGGAAUUAUUGGGCGUAAAGAGCUCGUAGGCGGUUUGUUGCGUCGGCUGUGAAAUCCCGAGGCUCAACCUCGGGUCUGCAGUCGAUACGAGCAAACUAGAGUGUUGCAGGGGAGACUGGAAUUCCUGGUGUAGCGGUGAAAUGCGCAGAUAUCAGGAGGAACACCAAUAGCGAAGGCAGCUCGCUGGGACGUUACUGACACUGAGACGCGAAAGCGUGGGGAGCGAACAGG